GAUGAACGCUGGCGGCGUGCCUAAUACAUGCAAGUCGAGCGAACGGACGAGGAGCUUGCUUCUCUGACGUUAGCGGCGGACGGGUGAGUAACACGUGGAUAACCUACCUAUAAGACUGGGAUAACUUCGGGAAACCGGAGCUAAUACCGGAUAAUAUUUUGAACCGCAUGGUUCAAUAGUGAAAGACGGUUUUGCUGUCACUUAUAGAUGGAUCCGCGCUGCAUUAGCUAGUUGGUAAGGUAACGGCUUACCAAGGCGACGAUGCGUAGCCGACCUGAGAGGGUGAUCGGCCACACUGGAACUGAGACACGGUCCAGACUCCUACGGGAGGCAGCAGUAGGGAAUCUUCCGCAAUGGGCGAAAGCCUGACGGAGCAACGCCGCGUGAGUGAUGAAGGUCUUCGGAUCGUAAAACUCUGUUAUUAGGGAAGAACAAAUGUGUAAGUAACUGUGCACAUCUUGACGGUACCUAAUCAGAAAGCCACGGCUAACUACGUG
rnacentral:rRNA from 1 species